UACGUAGGGUGCGAGCGUUAAUCGGAAUUACUGGGCGUAAAGCGUGCGCAGGCGGUUUUGUAAGACAGAUGUGAAAUCCCCGGGCUUAACCUGGGAACUGCAUUUGUGACUGCAUAGCUAGAGUACGGUAGAGGGGGAUGGAAUUCCGCGUGUAGCAUUGAAAUGCGUAGAUAUGCGGAGGAACACCGAUGGCGAAGGCAGCCCCCUGGGUCGACACUGACGCUCAUGCACGAAAGCGUGGGUAGCAAACAGG
rnacentral:rRNA from 1 species